rnacentral:misc_RNA from 1 species
AAGUCGUAACAAGGUCUCCGUUGGUGAACCAGCGGAGGGAUCAUUAAAGAGUUGCAAAACUCCCACAACCAUCGCGAACGUUACCCGUAACCGUUGCCUCGGUGGCGUCGACCCUCCGGGGUCGCCCGCCGGCGGCACCCGAAACUAUGUUUUUGUAGGCCUCUCUGAGUAACUUAUCAAAUAAGUCAAAACUUUUAACAACGGAUCUCUUGGUUCUG